rnacentral:misc_RNA from 1 species
GCUCUCACGAAACCGGAGCCUUUCUCGGUUCCCCCCAUCAACCACCGCUCGUUGGGUGGAAGGAAGGGGGGGGGACUGAAUCGGCACCGGCUGGACACGCUCUGGACCUUCGCGGUCUGCGCUGUCGCUGCGCCAUUCGGUGCGGUGAUGGCAACGGCCCCGUGGUCUUAAGUACAAGCCGCGCCGUUGUCCGUUCAUCUCGUAACGUCUUCGACGCUGCCCUGCUCAUGGCGGCCUGUCCGUUUUCUCUACCGCCAGGCAGGACCCGGCUCGCUACUUGAUUAAUUUCUGGAGGCGAUAACGGGCCUGCAGUCCUCAUGGCCCAUCGCCCUUUGCCUCUGCCAGCUCGUUCAUUGGUGGUAGGCGGGGGGACGGUGGAGAGAAAGGGACGGAAGAGACGCUCACUUGAUGCUCGGCGCCCGGAUCAAUUGUUUUUUUUUUCACUCGAAAAAAAAAUUAACAUUCCGACCUCAGAUCGGACGAGAUUAC